AUGCAGGCCAGGUGGCCAUGGCUACAGCGAACUGACCCCUCCUGGCCAUGGUCAGAGUUCGACAUUGAUGUCCCCACGGGCUCCAGGCAGCUCUUUCAGGCGGCGGCACGCUGGAAGAUCGGGGAUGGACGGGGUACAAAAUUCUGGGAAGACAGAUGGCUCGACGGCUUUAGGGUUCAGGAGCUGGCACCGACGAUCUAUGACAGGGUACAGCCGUCCACCAAGUCAGAGAGGACAGUGGCGCAGGCCUUGACGAACUCGGCGUGGGCUAGUGACGUGGGUCCGGAGCUCUUGGCGCAGGCACUUCAUGAGUACAUGAUCCUUUGCGACCGCCUUGCUCACACCCACCUGAACCAUGAGGCCAUGGACUCAGUUAUAUGGGCCUGGGAAAAGAGUGGCGAAUACUCGGUCAGAUCGGCCUAUCAAGCAAGAUUCAUGGGACGCGAGAUCAUUCCCACGGCUGACUUCACUUGGAAAUCGAGGGCACCUCUGAGAUGCCACUUCUUCGCUUGGAUAGCUUUGCAGAACAGAUGUUGGACCUCAGAUCGGCUUGCCAGGCGUGGACUCGACCACCAGGAGGCAUGCCCUUUCUGCGACCAACAUGAGGAGAGCAUCGACCACAUUCUGCUCCAUUGUGUCUUUGCGUGUCAGGUUGGGCCCAUCAUUUGUACAGCGAUGAACAAGCCCAACUGGACACCUUGA
rnacentral:rRNA from 1 species